rnacentral:rRNA from 1 species
CCCUUAGAUGUUCUGGGCCGCACGCGCGCUACACUGACGAAUGCAACGAGCUUAUAACCUUGGCCGAAAGGUCUGGGUAAUCUCCAAAUUUCGUCGUGAUGGGGAUAGAUUAUUGCAAUUAUUAAUCUUCAACGAGGAAUGCCUAGUAAGCGCAAGUCAUCAGCUUGCGUUGAUUACGUCCCUGCCCUUUGUACACACCGCCCGUCGCUCCUACCGAUUGAAUGGUCCGGUGAAGCGUUCGGACCGUGGCCUUUGGACGGUUCGCCGUCUGUUGGCUGCGGGAAGUUCGUUAAACCUUAUCAUUUAGAGGAAGGAGACGUCGUAACA